rnacentral:rRNA from 1 species
UACGUAGGGUCCGAGCGUUGUCCGGAAUUAUUGGGCGUAAAGGGCUCGUAGGCGGUUUGUCACGUCGGGCGUGAAAACUCAGGGCUCAACCCUGAGCGUGCGUUCGAUACGGGCAGACUAGAGGUAUGCAGGGGAGAACGGAAUUCCUGGUGUAGCGGUGGAAUGCGCAGAUAUCAGGAGGAACACCGGUGGCGAAGGCGGUUCUCUGGGACGGUACUGACGCUGAGACGCGAAAGCGUGGGGAGCGAACAGG